AUUUAUUCAAUCUCACAUGUUCAACACACUUUCAUCUUGCGACAUAACUUCCAAAGACUUGGACAGAUAAUUCUUAUGGUCCAAAUUGGACAGAUAAUUCUUAUGGCUAAAUGCAUAUUUUGGACCAUGUACUUUUUUAAAAAAAUUUUGUUGUCCCUUAUAUUUUGCAGAGGUCCUAUAAAGUACCUUUAUUUACUUUUUUUUCAUAUUUAAUAUGUAUCUCGCCACGCUAAAAGUGUGGAAAGAGUGAAAGCUUGUUUAUUUGCCAUGUUGUCACCUCUUCACAUUCCUCCUCAGUAACCGACCAUAAUGCCAAAGGAGAUGGUGGAACAAAGGAAUCUCAGAAGUCUCAGCUUGAUGACUGAGAUGGUGGCGGCGGAUGAGGAUGGGUAGUGAAGAAGCUUGUUAUCAAUGUUCAUAUGUCAGAUCUAGGACUCAUCGGUGGAGGAGGAGGUGGAGGUGUGGGAGGUAAAAGUGGUGAUGAUGGUAAAAAAUGGAAGCAUAAGAGGAAGACGAAAGAUGAGGGAGGAAGAGAUGGCGGCCUCGACAUCGGAAGCGGUGGUGGUGGAGGAAGGAGGAGAUGGUGGCGUCUCCAGUGGCAGCGUCAGUGGUGGAGGAGUAGGAGAGUAACAGUUUCCUACUUCUUUGGAAGGUUUGAACGAAGGAGGGGGGCUUGGAAGGCUUUGACCAAAUGUAUAUUUUUGACCAUUUAAUCUGAUGCGGUAUAUGAUGUGUUUCUCUCUCUCACAUGUCAUCACAUUUUUGUAGGUGAGGGAUGAGUUGCACGCACUUCAUCUCCCCAUGAUAGGUACCCAUUAAAUAUAAAAAAAAUAAAUAGAGAUACCUUAUAGGACCUCAGAAAGUAUAAAGGCCGCAGAAUUUUUUUGAAAACGUACCGGGUCCAAAAUAUGCAUAUGGCCUAAUUCUUAUGCUACCACAAAAUAUUUGCCUUGAAUUAUUAUUUACAAAUUGAGAUUUUAUCUAAUUAAUAAAUUUAUCUUUUUUCUUUUUGUGUA